UACGGAGGGGGCAAGCGUUAUUCGGAAUUACUGGGCGUAAAGCGUGCGCAGGCGGUUAUGUAAGACAGUUGUGAAAUCCCCGGGCUCAACCUGGGAACUGCAUCUGUGACUGCAUAGCUAGAGUACGGUAGAGGGGGAUGGAAUUCCGCGUGUAGCAGUGAAAUGCGUAGAUAUGCGGAGGAACACCGAUGGCGAAGGCAAUCCCCUGGACCUGUACUGACGCUCAUGCACGAAAGCGUGGGGAGCAAACAGG
rnacentral:rRNA from 1 species